CAAGCCGGAGCAAAAAUCUUCACAGAAUCAAAUCUGUGGCCACUUUUAUAAUUUAUCUUAAUUGCGAGUGAAAAUUGUUAAACAAAAUUUCUUACGUUGAUAAAUCGUUUUGGUAAUUCGACAACGGGCGCAUUUUUCAACGUGACUAAAAACCGAUGUAAACACAUUCGUUUCCUUCAGUAAAUGACCUCUUGUUGUUUUAUCGACUUUAUGUUUACUGGAAAUAAUAAUGGGAUGCCGUGAGUUCCGGGAUACAAUACUCUCUAUGGCAUGUCAUUUUUUUCUUAGAGAACUAACCACGAAAGCCUUCAUGGUGUACCACAAAUUGCGUGUUUAAUACGUAACUUUUAAGUAAUUGCAACGAUUACGAUCUGUCUACUUCAUUUAACCAAAUUUAGCCUUUUACUAUCUUGCGGUCCGGAUAGGGCGACCGCAAAAAUCUGUGAACACUUUAGGCUUUCUUCAUGUGCGCAUCAGAAAGUCUCAUUUCCUUCUUCUUUUAACUGGAAUCGCCGAGAAUUUUAUCGGUGGUAUUUCGCAGGCGCCACGGUCAACUGGUAUGGUGCAACAAUCGUGGUUUCUCUAGGGACAGGGUUGGAUUCAAAAUCAAAACGAUAAUGAAACGAUAGUUUUAUUGUAUUGGAAGCCAGUGAAAGUAUAGAUCAGGAUUCAUUGAUGGUGGACAUCUAUCUCAAGAAAGCGAAGCGUCAUCAGUAAGAACAAACAGCAGCUGUUGGAAACACUGGAAUUCUUGUUGCCGUCUAUAUGGCCGAACAAAUAUCACCCACGAAAAACUGCAACGAACGUAAGAUGUGCCAAACAAGAUGGUUUCUGCACGCCUACAUGCCAUAAGGAACCAGCUUGUGAAAACCCGGUUUCUAGUUUGUAUAAGGGAUCUUUCAUCUUUGAUCGGCAACAAAAGCCGAUCGGACUGAAUAUGAAGUCACUUCAUGGGAGAACACUUUCGAGCGAAGAGUCACACCAGUAGCGCCAGGGUCAACAAGAAGCCGAAUUAAAAUAACAACUGUCAGAAUUGCACGUGAAAAGAAGUGGACUGUGGGGAAUUGAGUUUAUACUGCCUUCUACACUUCCUCACUUCCAUCCCUUUCCGUAUAUACCCAAUUGACCCAAAGAAUGAGAACAUUAA